GGCCUAACACAUGCAAGUCGAGGGGCAGCAUAGAUUGCUUGCAAUCUGAUGGCGACCGGCGCACGGGUGCGUAACGCGUAUGAAACCUACCUAAUACAGGGGGAUAGCCCAGAGAAAUUUGGAUUAAUACCCUAUGGUACUGUGAUCUCGCAUGGGAUUAUAGUUAAAGAUUUAUCGGUAUUAGAUGGUCAUGCGUUCUAUUAGUUAGUUGGUAAGGUAACGGCUUACCAAGACAUCGAUAGAUAGGGGCCCUGAGAGGGGGAUCCCCCACACUGGUACUGAGACACGGACCAGACUCCUACGGGAGGCAGCAGUGAGGAAUAUUGGACAAUGGAGGCAACUCUGAUCCAGCCAUGCCGCGUGAAGGAAGACUGCCCUAUGGGUUGUAAACUUCUUUUAUAGAGGAAGAAACACAGAUACGUGUAUUUGUUUGACGGUACUCUACGAAUAAGGAUCGGCUAACUCCGUGCCAGCAGCCGCGGUAAUACGGAGGAUCCAAGCGUUAUCCGGAAUCAUUGGGUUUAAAGGGUCCGCAGGCUGUUGUUUAAGUCAGAGGUGAAAGUUUGCAGCUCAACUGUAAAAUUGCCUUUGAUACUGGAUAACUUGAGUAAUAAUGAAGUGGUUAGAAUAUGUAGUGUAGCGGUGAAAUGCAUAGAUAUUACAUAGAAUACCGAUUGCGAAGGCAGAUCACUAAUUAUAUACUGACGCUGAGGGACGAAAGCGUGGGGAGCGAACAGGAUUAGAUACCCUGGUAGUCCACGCCGUAAACGAUGGUUACUAGCUGUUUGGACUUCGGUCUGAGUGGCUAAGCGAAAGUG
rnacentral:rRNA from 1 species